rnacentral:rRNA from 1 species
GAUGAACGCUGGCGGCAUGCCUAAUACAUGCAAGUCGAGCGAAUCUUUUGGGACUUGUCCCUUGAGAUUAGCGGCGGACGGGUGAGUAACACGUGGGUAACCUGCCUGUGAGACUGGGAUAACUUCGGGAAACCGGAGCUAAUACCGGAUACUUUCUUUUCUCGCAUGAGGAAAGAUGGAAAGAUGGUUUCGGCUAUCACUUACAGAUGGACCCGCGGCGCAUUAGCUAGUUGGUGAGGUAACGGCUCACCAAGGCGACGAUGCGUAGCCGACCUGAGAGGGUGAUCGGCCACACUGGGACUGAGACACGGCCCAGACUCCUACGGGAGGCAGCAGUAGGGAAUCUUCCGCAAUGGACGAAGGUCUGACGGAGCAACGCCGCGUGAGCGAAGAAGGCCUUCGGGUCGUAAAGCUCUGUUGUUAGGGAAGAACAAGUAUCGGAGUAACUGCCGGUACCUUGACGGUACCUAACCAGAAAGCCACGGCUAACUACGUGCCAGCCGCCGCGGUAA